rnacentral:rRNA from 1 species
GACGAGGGAUCCUAGCGUUGCUCGGAAUCAUUGGGCGUAAAGCGGGUGUAGGUGGCUUUUCAAGUCGGGAGUGAAAGCCCUGGGCUUAACCCAGGAAGUGCUUUCGAUACUGUUAAGCUUGAGUGUGGAAGAGGAUAGUAGAAUUCCUGGUGUAGUGGUGAAAUACGUAGAUAUCAGGAGGAAUACCGGUGGGGAAGCCGGCUAUCUGGUCCAACACUGACACUCAGACCCGAAAGCGUGGGUAGCAAAC